rnacentral:lncRNA from 1 species
AAAAAAUUUGUGUACAAAUACAUACACAGAAACCUUUUGAUUGUUAGCUUUUUAAGGGAGGUAACGUUUUUUAUGAAUGAUUCUAAUAUACAUUUAUCUGUUUUAAGAUAUAAUAAUAAAGCGAGUAUGCUAACAUUUUUUCUCAAUAAGGAAUGUGUCAAAGAGACACCAUUCCGACCAAAAAGCAGAUAUAAAAAAAAAUAUUAUUUAGUUUUCUUUCUAGUGUUUUACAUGGCUUUUCCCUUGUUAACCCUUGCAAUGUGUGCCUGUUUCACAAUCUGUCAAAUACAAAUUAGCCGAGGACGGACAACACUCGAUUAUUUUAAAUCUCAUACUACUUUAAAUGGUCUAUAAUAAUGGCGAUUGUUAUUUUAGUCUUUUCAUGCCGGCAAAAAUCCAUCUCGAUACAAGAAAUGUACACAUGUGCAAAUAAAUUGUUUAGAAAGUAG